rnacentral:lncRNA from 1 species
CUUGGGGGCGUGGCCUCGCGGCUGCCGCGCUCGCAGUGCCCAACGCCGGGGCCGCCGCCUGCAGCGGUGGGGUCGGAAGGGAAGCCGUGGCAGUGGGGAGAGGAUGGGGGACGCCGCUGAGACAAAGCCGGGGCGGAGGCGGCGGUGAAACGGGAGCGCAGGUGAAGGAGGGAGGAAGAGGAAGGAGGAGAAGGGGGGGCCGGGCUCCGCCAUGGCUACGAAUUUUAACGACAUCGUCAAGCAGGGCUACGUG